rnacentral:rRNA from 1 species
UACAGAGGGUGCAAGCGUUAGUCGGAGUUACUGGGCGUAAAGGGCGUGUAGGCUGAUAUCUCAGUCGAUUGUGAAAUCCCUGGGCUUAACCUAGGAAUUGCAGUCGAUACUAGAUGUCUUGAGUAUGGUAGAGGAAAGUGGAAUUCUCGGUGUAGUGGUUAAAUACGUAGAUAUCGAGAAGAACACCGGUGGCGAAGGCGGCUUUCUGGACCAAUACUGACGCUGAGGCGCGAAAGCGUGGGGAG